AUGAUCCCCGGCGGAGGUCCCGCAAUCUGGGUAAGGUCAUCGAUACCCUAACUUGCGGCUUCGCCGACCUCAUGGGAUAC
rfam:Hepatitis C virus strain 105431TF2.TC2 polyprotein gene, complete cds